UCCCUGGUGGCUCAGAUGGUAAAGCGUCUGCCUACAAUGCAGGAGACCCGGGUUCAAUCCCUGGCUUGGGAA
rnacentral:tRNA from 1 species